UACGUAGGGGGCAAGCGUUUGUCCGGAAUCAUUGGGCGUAAAGAGCGCGUAGGCGGUCCGGUAAGUCCGCUCUGAAAGUCCGGGGGCUCAACCCCGGGAGGCGGGCGGAUACUGUCGGGCUAGAGUCCGGAAGAGGCGAGUGGAAUUCCUAGUGUAGAGGUGAAAUUCGUAGAUAUUAGGAAGAACACCAGUGGCGAAGGCGGCUCACUGGCCCGGUACUGACGCUGAGGCGCGAAAGCGUGGGGAGCAAACAGGG
rnacentral:rRNA from 1 species